rnacentral:rRNA from 1 species
UACGGAGGGGGCUAGCGUUGUUCGGAAUCACUGGGCGUAAAGGGUGCGUAGGCGGGUUUUUAAGUCAGGGGUGAAAUCCUGGAGCUCAACUCCAGAACUGCCUUUGAUACUGAAGAUCUCGAGUCCGGGAGAGGUGAGUGGAACUGCGAGUGUAGAGGUGAAAUUCGUAGAUAUUCGCAAGAACACCAGUGGCGAAGGCGGCUCACUGGCCCGGUACUGACGCUGAGGCACGAAAGCGUGGGGAGCAAACAGG